AUACGGUGGGUGCAAGCGUUACUCGGAAUCACUGGGCGUAAAGCGCGCGCAGGCGGCUAUUUAAGUUGGAUGUGAAAGCCUACGGCUCAACCGUAGAACUGCAUCCAAAACUAUUUAGCUAGAGUGUGGGAGAGGAAGAUGGAAUUAGUUGUGUAGGGGUAAAAUCCGUAGAGAUAACUAGGAAUACCAAAAGCGAAGGCAAUCUUCUGGAACACUACUGACGCUGAGGCGCGAAAGCGUGGGGAGCAAACAGGAUUAGAAACCCUAGUAGUCC
rnacentral:rRNA from 1 species